GCAGUGGUGGUUCAGUGGUAGAAUACUUGCCUUCCAUGUGACAGACCCGGAUUCGAUUCCCAGCCAGGGCA
rnacentral:tRNA from 1 species